AUUGAACGCUAGCGGCAUGCCUUACACAUGCAAGUCGAACGGUAACGGGCCUUCGGGUGCCGACGAGUGGCGAACGGGUGAGUAAUGCAUCGGAACGUACCUUUCAGUGGGGGAUAACGUAGCGAAAGUUACGCUAAUACCGCAUAUUCUGUGAGCAGGAAAGCAGGGGACCGCAAGACCUUGCGCUGAUUGAGCGGCCGAUGUCAGAUUAGCUAGUUGGUGAGGUAAAGGCUCACCAAGGCGACGAUCUGUAGCGGGUCUGAGAGGAUGAUCCGCCACACUGGGACUGAGACACGGCCCAGACUCCUACGGGAGGCAGCAGUGGGGAAUUUUGGACAAUGGGGGCAACCCUGAUCCAGCCAUGCCGCGUGAGUGAAGAAGGCCUUCGGGUUGUAAAGCUCUUUCGGCCGGGAAGAAAUCGCACAGGCUAAUACCUUGUGUGGAUGACGGUACCGGAAUAAGAAGCACCGGCUAACUACGUGCCAGCAGCCGCCGCAGUAA
rnacentral:rRNA from 1 species